GUAUUUUCAUGUCAUAAACGAUCCAAAGGGGUACCAAUUAUUUGUAAAUAUAAAUAGACCUUUCUAGAGCUUAUUUUCAACCGUAAAUCAUUUUCACCAGUUUCUGUUCACGAAUACCGAGAGAAACCGAGCUGCGUUCUUCGUGUUCUUCGUAAUCAAACAAGGUUUUGAAGGUGUUAUUGGAAUCCGAUGGAGGCGUAUGAAUAGUCAAAACGAAGCUAUCGACGCGUAGAAUCUAGUACAAUCAUCCGUUUAUGUGCAGAUUGGUCAGGUGAUUUUAUAUUGAUUUUUCAAAAUUCGAAUUUAUAUGAUUUAAAUGAUGAAUUUUUGUAAACGUGAUUGUUUAAUUGUUUUGAUGAGUCCAUGAUGUAGAGCAUGUUUUUCUCGUCGUUUUGGUAUAUUAUAUGUUGAAUUUGGGGUUCGGAAUCAUAUAGAAACAGUGGUUUAAUUCUUGAGUAGGUGUUCUUGAGUGUUCUUCGUGGGUUAUGAAUAUUUUCAAUUGAGAUUUGGGCGUUUCUUAUCUGUUAAUCACAUGAGCAAUCGGUUGAUAUGGUUGGAUAGAGCGUGAAGAGAGGAACUUGUGGGUAUGUUCAAAAGUUAUGUGGGAUUCCCGGAAAGGGGUCACCGGAGUUUCGAAAGAAACUCGCCGGCGGGUUUUUUUGCUUCGAUUUUCCGGCCAUUCUUUGCGACGAUUGGUGAUUCUGAUUAUGGGUAUGGGUUUCUGGUAGUAUGAACUUCAAAUCUGGAGUUUAUGGGGUGUGUAUGACGUCGGAAAAUCGAUUUCCGGCGAGUUAGUGUGGUGGCCGGCGGCUUAUUGCUGUUUGGUCACCGAAGGUUUGAAGAUGAUGAAGUUUUUGUACUCAGGUUCUGAAACUUAUGAAUUACCCCCUGUAACUUUGAAAAGUUGCACUUUAAACCCUGGACAAAACUUUCAAAAGUUUACAAAAUAAACCUUUUGAUUUAAUUUUCAAAAAUUGUUUUAUUUAAUUAUUUUGAUUUUCAAAAAUAAUUUUUAAUUAUUUCUUUAUUUAAAAAUAAAUCUAAUUUGAUUUAUUAAUUAAUUUUAAUUAGUAAUUAAUUAUUUUAAUUGGUCAAUUAAUUUAAAUAUUAAUUGAUUAAUUAUUUUAAUUAAUUAUUAAUUGAUUUUAAUUGAUUAAUUAAUUGGAUUUAAUUAUCCUUUUUGAUUUAAAAAUUCCGAAAAAUAGUUUCGAGCUUUAAAAUAUUUUUCCAAAUUAUUUUCAAGGCUCGAUAAUUGUUUAUGAAUGAUUUCAAGUCCAAUUUCAAGUAUUUGGGACUUGAUUAUUUAUUCGAAAAGUGAUUCUUUUAUCGAUUUUAAUUCCGAAAAAUGUUUAAAAAUUCCAGAAAAUUCCCGAAAAAUCAUUUUUAACCCAAGACUUGAUUUAAUAUCAAUUGGGAUGGGAAACCUUAUGUGUUGUGUGUUGUCUGCUAUUGGUUGGAUGUGUUAUGUGCCGAUAGGAGAGUGAGAAAACUGUUUUGAGCAUAACUUUUGAUCCGUAAGUCGGAAUCAAGUGAAACGAAAGAGAGACGGAAGCUUAUAACGUCUAUUUUAAUAUGAUGUGACUAUAUGGCUGAGUCUAUAAGGUGAAUAAUUGUUGAUAAGUAUGCAUAAUGUGAUAAUAUGUGAUCUAAGUGCUAUCAAGUGAUGAUUAUGUGAAGUACGUGUUAGUUUUGAUAUUGUGAAGUGAUAAAUGAUUCGUAUGAUUGAUAUUGGAUAAGAAUAUAUGGAUUAUAGUUAUUGGAUUUUGUUGGUUGAUUAAUGAUUGAGAUAGGAUAACAGGUGGAUAGUCUUAUACAUAGACGAGACGAUGUCGGAUUUUCGAUAAGGAUUUAUAUGAUAAUUGAUUGGUGAUAUGUUAUGUGGAAUAUGAUUGACUAUAUGUUAGAGUCAAAGCAUGCUUAUGUGUUACGUGGUAUCUGAUAAGUUUAAAGGGGUAUAUAAGUGGGUAUCGAUAUACGUGAUAUGUAUAUGCGAUAUAUUGUUUAGUGACUAUAGUAUUAUCUUAUUCUCGUAAAGGAUUUGGACGAGACGUGUACGCUCGAAGACGUCAGAAAGUCGGAAUGGUAUUGCAAAGCGAAUAAGGGAUGAAUCGAGUAAGCGAAGCGAUGUGGCGAAUAGAGUAUAGCUAGAGAUGGUCUAGAGAUUACGAGAUGCAUAGAUUGUGAAAGUUGAAAGAUGAGAUUGAGCUGUGAGACUGGAGUCAGAUUUAAGGCAAGUAUCCUAAACCCUUCUCUUGGAUAUAUUGCAAAUAUUCUGAUCCAUUCCUUUGGUAUAUGUUUCAAGUAUUCAUACCUUUCUUUUCAAUGUUCGAAAGUGCGAGUAUUCUGACCCAUUCUUUCUAAUCUUCAAGUUUCUAAAGAAUUUCCGUUUUACAAAUUAAUUCGAAGUUCAGAUUGUCAUUGAAGCAUGUGUUGCUCAGUGAUAGUUAGAGCUUUGAAUGAAUUGGGAUCUUCUUGAUUAUUCAACCCGCCAUUGUCAUGCUGGUUUAGCAGGCUAAAUUCAGUUGCUUAGCCGAUAAUGGAGGAUACUGAAUAGUUGAGGAUUUCCUGAACUGUGAUUUAUGAAAUGAUGGAUCAUGAUUUAUGAAUAGAUUAUUAUCAAAGUUUGAAUUGGAAUUAUUCUGUUGUUGAUGAUAUUUAUGAUGAUGUUCUGUUAAUUUACAUUGGCUUCUUGAAUUGAAUUAGAGAAUUGGAUUAUUGUUUUUAUAUAAACCUGUGGACCAGAUUCGUGGUCAUGUUAGGCCAAUGAGUGCCUUGGAUCCAGUGAUAGAGCAUGGCGGGGCCUGCUCGGGGUUAGUGCGGAACUGAUCAGCUGCCUAACCUUGGUUUUAAUUAAAAUGUGAUAGUCCAAUUCAAUAAUUCUUUGGAAAGAUUGAAUUUCUCAGUUUAAAUGCUGCAAGGUAUUGUAAAUCAUUCUAUACAAUACCAUGAACUCAUGAACUCAGGUUGAAUCCUCUUAUAUCUUGAACUCGUGAACUUCUGUUAUAUCAUUUCAGAACUAUCAUUGUUUAUUAUUACUUGCUGAGCAUUGUUGCUCACCCUUGCUAUUCCUUUCUAACCAUUUCAGAAAGGCUUAAAGAUGAGAUGAUUGAUUGAGAUUGUGAGUAAGGCUAAUGCUAGGCGAGGAGACAGAGUUGAGGAUCCAGUGGUCGAGGAGUGUUCAGGAAAGUUGAUGAGGUUGGUGCAAGCUGGAAUAGUUGACAGUGAUUCUUCUUAUCGAAGAUGAUCUGAUUUGGUAAGAGAUGUUGUGUAAUAAUAGUGGUUGAUUCUAAUUUCAAUACUGUAACCUGGAAGCGAUCCUGCUGUUUUAAGGGGGUUAAAGUGUUCUCUUUUAAAUCUUUUAUUUAACGUCUUUCAAAUCCUUUAUUAAAUGUUUUCAAGUUUUAAAUUCUUUUGGAUUUUCAUUAUCUCUUAUAAAAAAAAA
rnacentral:lncRNA from 1 species